rnacentral:pre_miRNA from 1 species
AAAAACAGUCUCAGCCAGGUAUACUGUUGGAGUUAUCAUUAAAAGAUUUAAUUUUGUUUUGUCCUGUACAAAGAAUAAGACGUUUAUUAAUGAUAACUUCAACGGUAUACCUCGUUUAGUCUGUUCCG